rnacentral:rRNA from 1 species
AUUGAACGCUGGCGGCAGGCCUAACACAUGCAAGUCGAGCGGAUGAAGGGAGCUUGCUCCUGGAUUCAGCGGCGGACGGGUGAGUAAUGCCUAGGAAUCUGCCUGGUAGUGGGGGAUAACGUCCGGAAACGGGCGCUAAUACCGCAUACGUCCUGAGGGAGAAAGUGGGGGAUCUUCGGACCUCACGCUAUCAGAUGAGCCUAGGUCGGAUUAGCUAGUUGGUGGGGUAAAGGCCUACCAAGGCGACGAUCCGUAACUGGUCUGAGAGGAUGAUCAGUCACACUGGAACUGAGACACGGUCCAGACUCCUACGGGAGGCAGCAGUGGGGAAUAUUGGACAAUGGGCGAAAGCCUGAUCCAGCCAUGCCGCGUGUGUGAAGAAGGUCUUCGGAUUGUAAAGCACUUUAAGCUGGGAGGAAGGGCAGUAAGUUAAUUCCUUGCUGUUUUGACGUUACCAACAGAAUAAGCACCGGCUAACUUCGUG